AGCGUCCCACCUGCCUGGGCGCGAGGCCGCCCCAAAACCUGGCCGGCCUGGGUGGGACCCUCGUGCCGCCGCGCGCGGUGGGACGGAGCCUGCACACCUACUGUGGGGGGCGCAGAGGGCACCUGCCGAGCCCCCCAAGACCAUGGGCAUGGGGGUGCUCGUGGAAGGCAGGUGUGCGUGUCCUGUGCUACGGACCAGGACCAGGGCGCUCACACCAUCCCUGCCUGGGAGGGACGGCCAGCAGGUGACAAACGCCAGCGUCCCAGGGCACUGAGGCCACACAGGGCCCAGACGGAGCCUCCCCCUGAGACCCACCCAGCCGCCCACCACCCACAGAUGGGACCCUCUGGGCACCCCUCCCACUCAGGCAGGCUGAGGGGCCCCGCCGGGACUUCACAUGGGGGCUGACAGGGUUAAUGCAGUACACCCGGCUGAAAACAAACUGGAACAUACCAGACUGAAAAAGGAAAGCCUCUCCCCACUGCCUUCCAGGCAACCACUGUUAACAAAUUCCUCAGCACCUUCCAGAACGAA